ACAGCUACCGGGUAGGGAGGGCAGGGAGGAAGGAAGGAGAAACGAAGGUGGUUUUCCAAGGUGAGGCUUGUCUUAGCACUCUGGACAUGCUGACCCCUGCAAUCUCCCCAACUGUGGGAACAUCCUCUAUAUAAAAUAUGGCAGUGGGGAACAGCAUUCAUGCUCUCUCCUA